rnacentral:rRNA from 1 species
UACGUAGGUGACAAGCGUUGUCCGGAUUUACUGGGCGUAAAGAGCGCGCAGGCGGUCCUUUAAGUCUGAUGUGAAAGCCCACGGCUCAACCGUGGAAGGUCAUUGGAAACUGGAGGACUUGAGUACAGAAGAGGAAAGCGGAAUUCCACGUGUAGCGGUGAAAUGCGUAGAGAUGUGGAGGAACCCCAGUGGCGAAGGCGGCUUUCUGGUCUGUAACUGACGCUGAGGCGCGAAAGCGUGGGAGCAAACAGG